rnacentral:rRNA from 1 species
GACGAACGCUGGCGGCGUGCUUAACACAUGCAAGUCGAACGGAAAGGCCCUGCUUUUGUGGGGUGCUCGAGUGGCGAACGGGUGAGUAACACGUGAGUAACCUGCCCUUGACUUUGGGAUAACUUCAGGAAACUGGGGCUAAUACCGGAUAGGAGCUCCUGCUGAAUGGUGGGGGUUGGAAAGUUUCGGCGGUUGGGGAUGGACUCGCGGCUUAUCAGCUUGUUGGUGGGGAAGUGGCUUACCAAGGCUUUGACGGGUAGCCGGCCUGAGAGGGUGACCGGGCAUAAGGGGAUAAAGAUAGGGGCCAGACUGCUACGGGAGGGAGCAGUCGGGAAUAUCGCACAGUGGCCUGAAGCCUUCUGCAGCAACCCCGCGUGCGGGCAGACGGCCUUCGGGUUGUAAGCCGCUUUCGCCUUCUACAGACCGAGAGUGACCGAACUGGGUAAAGAAGCACCGGCUAACUACGUG